AUACUAGGGAGAGAGGUAGGUGAGUGCUUAUGAACACUUGCUGCUCUGAGGACAGGUUCAAAAUCAGUCCACCUUCAGCAAAUGACACCUCCUGGCCUUGGGCAGUGUGUGCUUGCUCAUGCUCGCUCUCUCUCUCUCUCUCUCUCUCUCUCUCUCUCUCUCACACACACACACACACACACAGUAUGUAAAAAUAGUUUUAAAAACUUCCAGAAAAAGUUAUACAUAUGGGUAGAUGUGUGUGUAAUAUAUUACUUUCCCUUUUUAUCUUAUUUCUGGGAAUACAUGUGUAUAAUUCAUGUCUAGGUAUGCUGUGCUAAGCCAUUCCUUUUAUUGUGUACAUUAACCCAUCGACUGUGAGCUGCAGAUGUCUCCAAUGGUGGCCCUUCUCCU
rnacentral:lncRNA from 1 species